GGAUGACCUGUGGGUAGGGGUGAAAGGCCAAUCAAACUGGGAGAUAGCUCGUACUCCCCGAAAUGUUUUUAGGAACAGCCUCGGUUAAAACGUGUCAUAGAGGUAGAGCUACCGAUUGGGCUAGGGGACUUCACCGUCUACCAAACCCUGACGUAACUCCGAAUGCUAUGACAUAAAGCCGGGAGUGAGGCUUUGGGCGCUAAGGUCCAGGGCCGAGAGGGAAACAACCCAGACCAUCAGCUAAGGUCCCUAAAUCCAUGCUAAGUUGAUCAAACGAUGUUUUACUGCUAUGACAGCUAGGAUGUUGGCUUGGAAGCAGCCAUUCAUUUAAAGAGUGCGUAACAGCUCACUAGUCGAGUGGUAGGGCGCGAAAAAAUAAUCGGGCAUCAAGCAUGGUACCGACGCUAUGGAUUCUGACGCAAGUCAGAAUGGUAGGGGAGCAUUCCAAUGGCAUCGAAGGUUUCACAUGAGUGAGGCUGGAGCGAUUGGAAAAAGCAGAUGUAGG
rnacentral:rRNA from 1 species